rnacentral:rRNA from 1 species
ACACGACUACAUUAGAUACCCGCGUAGUCCAGGGUGUAAACGCUGCGGGCUUGGUGUUGGGGGUCCUUAGUGGGCGCCCAGUGCCGGAGAGAAGUUGUUAAGCCUGCUGCUUGGGGAGUAUGUCCGCAAGGAUGAAACUUAAAGGAAUUGGCGGGGGAGCACCGCAACGGGAGGAGCGUGCGGUUCAAUUGGAUUCAACGCCGGACAACUCACCAGGAGCGACGGUUACAUGAAGGCCAGGCUGAUGACCUUGCCUGAUUUUCCG